rnacentral:rRNA from 1 species
CCUACGGGUGGCAGCAGUGGGGAAUAUUGGACAAUGGGCGAAAGCCUGAUCCAGCCAUGCCGCGUGUGUGAAGAAGGCCUUCGGGUUGUAAAGCACUUUCAGUGGGGAAGAAAGCCUUGGGGCUAAUACCCUCGAGGAAGGACAUCACCCACAGAAGAAGCACCGGCUAACUCCGUGCCAGCAGCCGCGGUAAUACGGAGGGUGCGAGCGUUAAUCGGAAUUACUGGGCGUAAAGCGCGCGUAGGCGGUCUGAUAAGCCGGUUGUGAAAGCCCCGGGCUCAACCUGGGAACGGCAUCCGGAACUGUCAGGCUUGAGUGCAGGAGAGGAAGGUAGAAUUCCCGGUGUAGCGGUGAAAUGCGUAGAGAUCGGGAGGAAUACCAGUGGCGAAGGCGGCCUUCUGGACUGACACUGACGCUGAGGUGCGAAAGCGUGGGUAGCAAACAGGAUUAGAUACCCCAGUAGUC